UAGGGAAUCUUCCACAAUGGACGCAAGUCUGAUGGAGCAACGCCGCGUGAGUGAAGAAGGCUUUCGGGUCGUAAAACUCUGUUAUUGAAGAAGAACGUGCGUGACAGUAACUGGUCAUGCAGUGACGGUAUUCAAUCAGAAAGUCACGGCUAACUACGUGCCAGCAGCCGCGGUAAUACGUAGGUGGCAAGCGUUGUCCGGAUUUAUUGGGCGUAAAGCGAGUGCAGGCGGUCUUUUAAGUCUGAUGUGAAAGCCUUCGGCUUAACCGAAGAAGGGCAUCGGAAACUGGGAGACUUGAGUGCAGAAGAGGAGAGUGGAACUCCAUGUGUAGCGGUGAAAUGCGUAGAUAUAUGGAAGAACACCAGUGGCGAAGGCGGCUCUCUGGUCUGUAACUGACGCUGAGGCUCGAAAGCGUGGGUAGCAAACAGGAUUAGAUACCCUGGUA
rnacentral:rRNA from 1 species